UUCAGAGUAAACAUUCUUUAUACAUUCAACAUUUCAAACUAUACAUAACUGUCAAUUACAUUUGACAAAACUAUCAAUCAUAGAUUUAUACCAUUUCUAAUUCAAGGAAAUGUAUUCAUUUUGCACAUCGAUCAAUCUUCAUCAUCCGUAUAGCAAAUAAUAUCGCUUAAUAUCAUUAACCUGCAAAAAGUUUGUAUUUGCAAGAUUGAGCUUGACAGCCCAGCAAAUUUAACAGUCUAUCAUGUUUCACAUAGCACACAAUUCCAUAUGCACUAUAUUUCCUUUACUAUGCAUAUCCUACAUGCAUCAAUAAUUCUGUGCAAUGCAUAAAUUCAUUUGUUGAAUUACCUCGUCCGAUCCUCAAUCGCCUUUGUAUGAUCUAUAUAUAGCACAUUGAAUUAUAAUAUGCUUCAUAAUCUUAUUAGAAACUUAACACAUAACUAAAUUGAUUUAUAAUCUUUAGUUUGCAUAACGCGUCAUUAUCGACAUUCCACAUACCAACUUCAUAUUUUUCAGAUCUUGAGUUCUUAAGAUUCCAUCUUGUUUUAGAUUAACUAAUCAAUCUUUAAUCCGUUUCAGAAUGAAUUUCAUUACGUUGUUGCUGAUUCGCAUCAUUAAUAUCAUAUGUAUUACCUAUGUAAUAAAGCUUAUAGCUUAAUAUGUAACACGUUCUUUGGUUUAACCAAAACUUGAAUACAUCUAGAUUAACAAUUUGAUCUCUCAUUAUUAACCAUAUUAGGUUAAUUAGUUCCAUUCAAAGGUUAUUUAUAUCUCUAAUAUCUUGCGCAUGCUUAUGUAAUGUAAUUAAAGUCAUUACAUAGCUUAACGAUAAUAUAUUCUACAAAUAUGGUUUAAAUUUCCAUAUUUCAAAGGUUAAUUUCAUAAUCUUAACUUAGUAAUCAUGUUAGGUUAUUAGCAUAAUUUAUAGAUUAACUUAUGUAUUAAAACAUGUUUUAUUAUUAAUUUUUAACUAAUUAAACACCCAGGGGCAAAACUGUAAUAAAUCAGUAAUUAAACACUCAAUGGCAAAACUGUAAUAAAGCAGAAAUAACAAUCUGGAACAUGGGGCUGCCCAGAUUUCCAGAUUGUUUUGUGAUUUCCUGGCUACUUUGUGAUUUUAUAUCUCACAAUCUACUAAUCCGAUUGCUUCCAAAUUUUGAUAUGUUAUACUUGGUACUACAUACUAUUUUAAAAAAAUAUAGCACGAACAAUUUGGGUUCAUUAAGAUGAUAUUACAGAAGCUCCAAUAUGCCCCCCUCACCUCAGUUUUUUUUUUCUUCAUUCAAUUCAAGUUUUUUUUUUUGAAAUUCUUUAAAACUUGAUUUGAGCUUGAUUUGAUUCACUCAAUCAACUUAGUUAACAUCAUAAUACAUAUAUAAAGGUUACCUAGCCCCAAACUUUGCUUAAUUUUUGAUUUCUAAGCAUUAAUUUUCAUUGAGACAAAUUUUCAAAUACUUUACACGCAUAAAUAAAUUUCCAGAUUUUCACAAACUUUUAAACAUGGUUUAGCCAAGAAUUUUCGAAAUUCUUCAUCCUUAUCACUCCAAGCAUCACUUACCAUCCAUAUCACAUCAUAUCUCAUAGUCCAAGCACAACAAUUUUAUAAAUAUAAGACAUUAAUACUCUAAUUUUUAUGAACUUUAACAAAUAAAGGUUAAUACCUCUUGUUUGAUGUUCUUAUUUGAAUUCUUGUUUCAAUCCUUGCUCCAAACUUCUUGUUGAUUGAAUCCAAUCUCCCUUAACAGUAAUUUGAUGCAAUACUCCCUUCACUUCAAUUGCUAAUUUCAAUUCCUAAAGAGUUUAGGUAGUUUCUUUGUUUAUGGGGAGAGAGCAUAUCAAAUUGGGAGAGGAAGAAGAAUGGAACGGAUGGGAGAGAAAAGUGAGGGCUGAGAAUUGGGUUUAUUUGUAGCUGAUAAUAGUCUAGUCUAGCAUUCCCAACCUCUUUGUUAAUUAUCAGACUUGGUUUCUAAGUGUCAUCCUAAUAUCCAAAGGUUAUGCCACCUCCUACUGUAGCCCCUAAUGACUCACCCAUAAGGCUUAUUCUCGUUACUUUAAUUCUCAGCAAAGUGAACUUAGCCUUUUAAUACAUAUUCAACAUCAUGACUUGG
rnacentral:lncRNA from 1 species